UACGGAGGGUGCAAGCGUUGCUCGGAAUCACUGGGCGUAAAGCGAACGCAGGCGGUUUUGCAGGUCGGAUGUGAAAGCCCAGGGCUCAACCCUGGAACUGCAUCCGAAACCGCAAGACUUGAGUACGUGAGAGGGGAGUGGAAUUCCUGGUGUAGAGGUGAAAUUCGUAGAUAUCAGGAGGAACACCAGUGGCGAAAGCGACUCCCUGGCACGAUACUGACGCUCAUGCACGAAAGCGUGGGGAGCAAACAGG
rnacentral:rRNA from 1 species